rnacentral:rRNA from 1 species
ACGAACGCUGGCGGCGUGCUUAACACAUGCAAGUCGAACGGAAAGGCCCUGCUUUUGUGGGGUGCUCGAGUGGCGAACGGGUGAGUAACACGUGAGUAACCUGCCCUUGACUUUGGGAUAACUUCAGGAAACUGGGGCUAAUACCGGAUAGGAGCUCCUGCUGCAUGGUGGGGGUUGGAAAGUUUCGGCGGUUGGGGAUGGACUCGCGGCUUAUCAGCUUGUUGGUGGGGUAGUGGCUUACCAAGGCUUUGACGGGUAGCCGGCCUGAGAGGGUGACCGGCCACAUUGGGACUGAGAUACGGCCCAGACUCCUACGGGAGGCAGCGGUGGGGAAUAUUGCACAAUGGGCGGAAGCCUGAUGCAGCAACGCCGCGUGCGGGAUGACGGCCUUCGGGUUGUAAACCGCUUUCGCCUGUGACGAAGCGUGAGUGACGGUAAUGGGUAAAGAAGCACCGGCUAACUACGU